rnacentral:snoRNA from 1 species
CUGCUACCAAGUAAGUCAACCAGUUCCUUUCCUCAUGGGGCCUUGUGCGCAAUGGCUGUGAACAGCAACCUCCGUGGAAAUGCAUUCAACCUCUUGCCUACAGGGGUUGCCCAAAGGGACCUUGGAUACAGUU